UUCAUUUUACCCGCCGACCGUCCAUAAUUGCUGCUGCCAAAAAUAAAAGUUUAACUGUAUGGUAGAGGUUUUUAAUCUAGAUCAGUAGACGCAUGAAAAAUGGCGGCCUACAUGAAUGUACAUUGUGUGAAAUUAAAUAGGAAAAAUAUAGAAGUUUACAGACAAUAAUCUUUGGACUCUGAUGGACGGCAUUCUCCCUCUCUCUGCAGUGUAGUGAGAAUGUUUACCUGUUUCAGAUCACGUGAUAGGGCUAUUGAUACGGAGUAUAGGGGGUGCUGUUCAAGAGAGUAAUCAUGGAGCGCCCAGUACUAUAUAGUGCACAGGAAAAAACAAAAAAGAUAGAAAGCUGCAACUUCAGCGAGAAAAGAAAACAAUCAGACAGAACUUGGAUAUAACAGGAGUUAAAAAUACAGACAGUAAUUCAUUUCAAUAGGAUUUAAUCAGUGACUGAAAAAAGAAACAUGGCAGAUUUUUUUUCUGUUAAGAUUUAUAAAAGGCUGGAAUCAAUGACUGACAUGUAGUGACGGAAUAUUC